rnacentral:rRNA from 1 species
CAGUAGCCGCGGUAAAACGGAGGGAGCUAGCGUUGUUCGGAAUUACUGGGCGUAAAGCGCACGUAGGCGGCUAUUCAAGUCAGGGGUGAAAGCCCGGGGCUCAACCCCGGAACUGCCUUUGAAACUAGAUAGCUUGAAUCUUGGAGAGGCGAGUGGAAUUCCGAGUGUAGAGGUGAAAUUCGUAGAUAUUCGCAAGAACACCAGUGGCGAAGGCGGCUCACUGGCCCGAUACUGACGCUGAGGUGCGAAAGCGUGGGGAGCAAACAGGAUUAGAUACCCGUGUAGUCCCUGUCUCUUAUAC